GACGAACGCUGGCGGCGUGCCUAAUACAUGCAAGUAGAACGCACAGUUUAUACCGUAGCUUGCUACACCAUAGACUGUGAGUUGCGAACGGGUGAGUAACGCGUAGGUAACCUGCCUGGUAGCGGGGGAUAACUAUUGGAAACGAUAGCUAAUACCGCAUAAUAUUGAUUAUUGCAUGAUAAUUAAUUGAAAGGUGCAAUUGCACCACUACCAGAUGGACCUGCGUUGUAUUAGCUAGUAGGUGAGGUAACGGCUCACCUAGGCGACGAUACAUAGCCGACCUGAGAGGGUGAUCGGCCACACUGGGACUGAGACACGGCCCAGACUCCUACGGGAGGCAGCAGUAGGGAAUCUUCGGCAAUGGACGAAAGUCUGACCGAGCAACGCCGCGUGAGUGAAGAAGGUUUUCGGAUCGUAAAGCUCUGUUGUAAGAGAAGAACGGGUGUGAGAGUGGAAAGUUCACACUGUGACGGUAUCUUACCAGAAAAGGACGGCUAACUACGU
rnacentral:rRNA from 1 species